GAGCGGGUUGUUGUUAAGUAGGUUGUGGUUGUAUUUGUGUAUUGUGUACCCAAUUGUGUCGAAAGAAAAUGCGUAGAAGAAGUUUGUUUCCUCGAGUAAUGAUCGAUAAAGACACGGAGUCGGAGAAAAGUUCUUCUGAUGAAGAAGAAGAAGAUGCUAAUGUAGUUUCACCUGAAGAGGAGAGAAUACAAAAAGGGAAAA
rnacentral:misc_RNA from 1 species